rnacentral:lncRNA from 1 species
AACUUUGUAGCGUAUAGAAUCUUGCUUUUUACUUAAACUCAAAGUUGCCUCUCUUCUUCGACCGUUCGUGGCAUCAAAAAGGUAACGGAGUCGGAUUUUCACGUAAAAAAAGUUAUUCGGCUUCUUAAUUCUGCAACGUUUUUUUUUUUUAUCAAAAGUUUUUUUAACAAAAGUUCCUGUAACAAAAGUUUUUUUUUUAUCAACUAAUAAACCAUAACCGAUUCUCUCGAGAGUCUCUCCUCC